GGCCUCUCAGCUCUGCUUAAUCACACAGGUCACCUGUGUGCUUGAUGUGUUUUCAGAGAGGCAGAGGAAGACUCUCCUAUUGCAUGACAGACCCAACCCCAGAAUGGCCUCUCUGUUCCUAGGGAGCAUCAGCU
ensembl:snoRNA